CUGAUAAGUGAGUUUCCAUAUAGCAGUUUCAGUUUUUAUAGUUGCUAUUUCAUGCUUAAAACUUUAUUUUUGCUUUCAUUAACAGCACUUUUCAUUAGUAUAGCUACUCACAAAACAAAUGUUUAAAAUACAAUGUUUUGAACCAAAGUUCACUAUUCCCUUUAGUCAGCAAAUCUUAUUUUAUGCUGGCUGCAUGACAGCUAAUUCAACAUCCAGAUUCAAUAUCCAAAAGUAGAAGCUACAUAUUUCCUUGUACAACAUGCAUGAAAUGGAAAAGACACUACAAACUGCCAUACUACUUUAAGUCAGAUCUUUACAGGAGCUAUACUUUGCUGUUCUGUGAUUGUAUCCACCUACCUAAGAUACAAGGAGUUAAAGACAGAACAUAUCAUUUAUUAAACGAUGAAUUUUUCAUUUAUUAAAUGACUAACUUUUGCUAGACAUUUUACAUAUUAAGUAUUUUGACUGGAUUAAUUUAAAUAAUUCUAUUAGGCAUUCUGAAUUUAACAACUAUUAAAAUAUUUGUAGAAAAUAAAAGCAAAUUGGUAUAAAUUUUUAAGCAAUUCUAUUUUUAUAGAAGAAGAUUAGUGACAAACCUGUAACUAUAAAGGUGUUCUUUGAAUGUGUAGUAGUCUAAAAAAUAAAAAUUCUUACAAAAUUUUGAAAGUGAAUGAAAAUCAACUAAAUAGCAUGCAAGAUCAUAGAUUCUGCAUCUGUUAUUUGGGAGAAUUUAAAAAUUAUGAGCUUGAGUUUGUAGAAUUUGCACUCUUGUGUCUGAAAUCUUUCUAGUAAGUAUUGUUUGCAUUUAUUUAAAACUCAAAAUGGAGUUAUAUAAGUGCAAAGAAAUUAACUCGUGUAACUUGUGUCUUGAUGCCUUAUGGUAAGUUAAGAUGUAAUUUUUAUUUCAACUGUUUAGUUUUGUUGUUUCAUGGGCUAGUGCUAUGUUUGGAGAAAUAAUAAUGUCUUUACCAUUCCUAAGGGUGAUUGAUAUACCAAGGAUGCCCCAGUACUAUUGUAAAGGUCUUAUUUUUAAAAACUGCCUAGUUUAUAGGUGUUUGAAUCAAAUUCUUUUCUAAAUUUUAAUCUGUUUGGCUCGACUUCUUGCUAAAGUGUCAGUUUCUAAAUUGUACACUUUCUCUGAGGUGCAUUGGGUGUUCAGAGAAUGAUUCUUCACAGAUGUAAGGGCCAGCUUUACAGCUGGUUACACCUUUUGUCAUCAUGCAUCAGAAAAAAUCCUGUCAUGGAGAUAUAUAGGGGAAAGUGUAAUAUUCAUGUUUGUUCUGUUUCAUUUUUAAGGGAAAUAAACAUGUUCCAAAAGACAUUAUUAUUAAAUAAAUGUUUGAACAAAUUUCAGUUUCUAGGUUACUGCUAACUCCAAUGUGUAAAUAUACAUAUGAAUCAGCUUUCAGUGGUCUAGGCUAUUGCUUAAAAUUGAAAAGUCCAUGUAAUUGUUGACAUCAUAGUUUUACUUUAUGGAAGACUAUGUAUCUGUGUGUCUUGGGUUCCAGAAGAAGUGCAUAUAACUUUAUCAGAAAUGUGGCACAGCAUUUCUCCACCGGUAUGAACCAACACAGCAGUGAGAUCCCUCCUGUGUUUAGAGAUCGUGGGCACACAAACAAACUGCCCAGCCUUAACCACAGCUUGAUUGAUGACAGGCACAAUCCCUUAAAGCUACUGCAAGGGAUUUUUCACACGAAGCAUAUGUGGCACGUGUGAGAACAAUGAGAAGCCAGCAGGACCUGGAGUUGGAGACACCAUGACUGAUUUUCCUUUAAAAGGCAUGAUGUCCCUCCCUCAUCUAAAGGUUGUUCUCUGAAUUCCUUCAGCCCUUCCAACUCAUCCUCCUAACACCCUUAAGACUAUGCCAGCACCUUUCAAUUUUUGAGGCUUCCCCAUACCCAUAAGUGUUCUGAUCUGUUGUGGCAAAUUUCAAAGUUUUCAAGUACGUUUUUCAAUUGAAAAAAAGCAUUGCAAUACGUUUAAGUAGAGGUCAGCAAACCAUAAUUGCUAAGAGGCUAUCAGAAGCCAUUUAGUACUUAAUACUUUUUACAAGAUGAAACAAGGCUAAUAAGGUUAUGGUUUUAUUGAGAAAAACAUCUGUAGUCUCUUUCUUAGACUGGCUUAGCAGUAAGAGCUUUAUAGUAUUUCAGCUAUGGAUUCAUUGUAGACCUAUAAAUUAUCUAAAUGCUCUUCCUUAGACCCCAUGGCAGGAGGAGGAACUGAAGUAGCUCUGUGUUAUGAGGCCGUUAGGAGGAGGGGCUGCUGGUGUGUGGCUGCAUUACUGGGUCCUGCUCUUUAACUGAGCAAAUUUAGUUAUGGUCAUGUUUCUUUUAAAAACAAGCUUACCAGCAAGUGGAUAACUCAGCAUGUUUUACAAGUGCAACACCCAUGGACUAGAGCCCUAUCCCUCUCUAGCCCAGACCUCAAACUGCCUCUACCAGCCUUGAUAUUAAGUUGUACCUUUAUUUGAAGAUGUUUUGGAUAGCAGUGGAGAACUGAAGGCUAGCUGCUAAAAUUGGUUUGUUUGCAUUGAAAAUGUUUACACUGAGUCCCUUGCUACACCAUAAACUGUAAACCAUUUGUUUGCAUUGAAAAUGUCUAGAGCAAACUAGACAGUUUCGAUAUCAGGCCCUAUAUUUAAGACCAAAAACAAUGAGAAGUAUUUCUAAAUCUUAAAGAUAUAAAUACAGUACCUCUGGCUGAAAACUCGUUAAUCAUCAUCUGUAUAAUUUUUCUUUAUAUCUUUACAUAAUUUUUUCUGUAAUUAAGUGUGCAUUAGGUAUUUGCUACUUCUUGGUUAAUGAAGCCUAAAAAUAUAACUGUAAAUAAAAUAUGCUAUAUAUUUUUCUGUUUCUUGCUUGGUUUGCUUCUAGUAUCAUUAUGUCUACUUUCUACUUAAAGAAUUUUUGCAUAGAUGAUACUCUUACUAGUAACUAGAAUGAGUUAUGAGUAUUUUUGGUAAUUAUUAGAAUUUAUAAUAACUUUUAGACAUGGAUUUCAUUUGAAAAAGCUACUUGGAAAUUGCAGGAAAUGUGAUAACUCUAGUGAUACACAAAAUUUUUUUCUGGGAAUAUACAUUACUAUUUAAUUGUUAUAAAGAUUUUGGAAGUCUUUCAAAAUACAUUUAACAUUUUGAGAAACACACCUUCUAAUUUAUUUCCAUAAGGCUGAAUGAAAAACUCUUAUUUACAAAAUGUGAGACUUGGUAAUUUAUAAACAAGUGUUAUUCAGAUUUAUUAGCAAUUAAAAUAGCAAUUUAGUAUUCUUUGGUCACUGGUUGUGCUUAAUUUGAAGGGGAUUAAUUAAUAUCUCUAGGUAAUUCCCUUAAAAAUGUUAAAUGUUUGUAUAUUUUAUUUGUAUGUGUGCCAGUUCAAAGUAUAUGCAAGUUCUAAGCAAUAAUCUGCAUGUUACACAAGGUUGGCCUUCCUUUGUCAUGACAAAUUUUAUUUGAUCUUGAUUUUAAGAAUGUGUAUAAAAUCAAUAUCCUAUAUAUAUAAAUGGUCCCUCCUCCCAAUGAAAACCGUGAAAUUUUCCUGUGUUAGAACACUAAUGUGGUGCAAAGCUUUGUAUUUUGUGGGAAAAAAAAUUAAUAAAAUCACAAUUAUUUAGUGCAAAAGUCUGAGUCUGCAAAGUGUACACUUUCAUAGUAAUUGAUGAAUAGAUGAUAAAAAUUACUUUCCUCAAAUCAUCUCUUCCAGCUCUUGAAUCCUAAAGCUAAUAUUUUUCUUCAAGAUGUUUGUAGAGCUUGUUUACCCUCUUCCCUCCCUUUUCUCCCUGAGGUCCCUGCCUUAUAACAAACCAGGAGGGGAAGCAGGCAUUAUAGUCAUGCUUGUUGAUGGAAGGAAUGGUGCUAUCUAAUCCAUAGGCUCUUUUAGAUUAAGUAAAACUUUGGCAGUUAUGUUUUUAAUCUCCUUCCUCGUGUUCUUUAGGCCUCUCAUGUGGUCUCAAGUGUUUUUUGCCAAAUGUCUUGGCUGGAGUUUCUCCCUUCUCAAAUUGCCCAUGUCUUAAUUUUGCAUCUUGGUCUGAGAAUAUCCAGUAGAUCAGGAAGCAGAAAGCUAAUUGAAUAGAAUACUGAAGUGGUUUGGCCUUUGGAGAGAGUACCAUGAGUCAUGCUUCAGAACAUGCCUAAAAUGUUGUGUCAAGACUGGCAAAGGAACAGCUGAAUUUCAAAAUUAAAAUAGCAGCCACAGCUGUUAGUGGAGACAGGCCACAGGUAAAAUUACAAGGAUUCAGAACUGCUCUAAGCAAGUGUAAAUGGGUGCUCUCUCUCACACCUCAGCUUGUUUCAAAGAUGAGCCACCCGUCUUGUUUUUUUUUUUCCUAGUCUUUACCAAAGUUAACUUACUGCGUUCCCUCCUUGUUGAUGGUUCUUAAAACUGCACAGAAUAAGCACGUUGGCAAGUUUGCAAUUUUCCCCUUUCUAGUAACUGAUAAUCUGUUCCUAGAUGCUUCUCAUAAAUUGGACUCUUCAAAUAAGGUCUAUGCACACCGAAUCUAGUUGAGUAGCCCAUUGUUGCAGCACUCCUAGGCUUGGAGCUUGACUCCCCUAUUGGCUAAAUAGCCCCUUCCUCUUUUAUCUAUCUCCAGCUAAAUUCUGCUACAUCUUGUUAUGUCAUUUUACCAAAUCAUUAAUUAUACCAUUUCAGAAAUUAUCUAAGCAGAACUUUCAAAGAAGGGGACUUGUAGGGAGAAAUGAAAAGUAAUAUGGAUUAUAGGCUGCAUUUUUAUGGAGGAUAAAGUUCAAGGAUAGAUAGAAAUUUGGGAAGAAUGACAUAGAAAAGUAGAGAUAAAAGAUCUCAAGGAAUAGGAAACCAAAAUAAGAACAUGCUCUGUAGGUAAACAUUGCAUUUGGGGUAACAUGAACCCCUCAAAAUGAAUAUAGUGAAAUUCAUGUGCACAUUACAAGAAUGUUUGUCUUCAUUAAAAUGCAAUGUAAGCAUUCAUUAUAUGUGCCUUUUUUCUUCAAAUUUUUAUUUAAAUUCCAGUUAACAUGCAGUGCUAUAUUGGUUUCUGGUGUACAGUUUAGUGACUCAUCACAAGUGCCGUCCUUAAUCCCCAUCAUCCAUUUAACCCAUCCCCCUGCCCAAACAUUGGUUUUGUUUCUUAAAUUUCACAUGAGUGAAAUCAUAUAGUAUUUGUCUUUAUAUAUAUAUAUGUAUAUAUAUGCAGGUAUGCUAUGUGACUGUGUGUAUCUAUCAUCUAUCUUGGUAGUGUGUCACCCACUGCUGACAGAUGUCUCCGUGCAGAGGCAGGAAUGAGGGGCCACCCUCCUGGAGCAGUGAUUUUAGUGGACUGUCUGAGCCUGCAGAAGACCCCAAGUCCAAGUCUGUUGUGAUUACAAAACACCCAACUGUGCCCGACAGUUAAGCUUUGUGAAAUAAUUUGUGUUGUCAGACUCAUCAUGAGAGGUUUUAGAAAAUGAAGUUUUGAAAGUAUACGGUGUUGUGGACAGAAAGGAUGUACGAAUGGAUAUGGCACAAGACAGUAGGAUUUUGUUUGAAUUGUAAAUUAGGAAAGAGCAAAUUUGCAAAGAGUGAAGUAUCCAAGGGCCAAAGGUAUUGGUGAAAAAGUAUCUUAAUCUCUGUGAGUCUUAGUCUUGUUAUCUGUAAAGUUAUGUUUUAUGUAUCUCCUGACUUUCCUUCCAGCUCUCCUAUCCUAUUAGUAAGAGCUUUUACUUGAAACAAAACAAUUACAACAGAGCAAGUAUAGCUUUAAGGCUUAGUGAUGUGAUUGGAAUGGCAUCUGAGGGAGAUUCUCAGUGUCAGAUGAAUGGGAGUACAGAAAUAGGCUAGUGAUGGAGAAAUUGGCCAAGCAACUGCAAAGUGGUUAAGCCUGAUGCAUGGCCUUGGACAAGGAAGAAAGACAGAAGGGCCAGAUCUGCUAAAUAUUGCAAAGAGAGAACCAGAAGGCUUUAGAAAAACUGAAUAUAACUCACGAAUAAAGCUGCGGAACUGAGAGGUGACAGAUGCCACUGGAUGUGAUGUCAGAACAUGGGGAGCCGAGGACUCAGCAAGAUGUUGGAGAAUGGCAACAGCUCUUCGGAGAUGCUGUGGAUGAGAGGAAAGAGGGAAGUCAAGGUCUCAGGCAUUUUCUAUACAUGAGGAAAGGCAAAGUACAGUAGUUGGAAGAGCAGAAUGGAGCCUGUGGUAAACUUUUAACAUAAUGGCCACUUGGAGAAUUCAUUCUGGGGGAAAGAAAUGUCUCAAAGUGCCUCACUAUGGUGACUUGCAUUGCUUUUCUCAUGUCUGAAUAAUGGUCUUGCCCUGACCCCUCGUAUUUGUGUAUUCAAGAUUCCUGAGUGUCACUGACCCAUAGUUUCCCCACAGCCCUUUCAGGUCUGCUGUCUGUCCUCGUGACUCAAUGCUGCCCAUGGUGUCAGUCCAGCCCUCUCUUGUCAAAGAGCUUGGGUAAAGUUUAGAGAGGAUGACUAGAAUAUAAGGCCCUUCUGGGGAGUCUGGCUGCAGGUCGGUAGUUGGAGACUGCUGCAGACAGAUCUACAGCCUUGCGGAGGGGUUUGACUGCCUAGGAGAGGUGGUCAUUGGAUGGUGAGGGUGGAGGGCAAAGUUCAAAGCAGACAGCAGAAGCCCACGUUACCUGGAGCAGGUUCAGGGAGGCUGUUGGGAAUGUGUUAGGUCUCCAGUUUCUGUGUCUGAAUUGCUAGGAAGAUGUCAUGGAGAACACUGUAAAUCGUUCCCUCUUGGACUGCUAUACAGUCUCCUAAUUGGUCUUUCCCAGUAUACACUACCUCCCUGCCCAUCUGUCACACAUGCUACUGACUCAUUUUCGAACACAUCCUCAAUAUGUGUCACAGCCCUGCUCAGAAUUUCUGAAUAUUCUGAGUAAAAUACUCCCAAGUCUAAACUCCUUCAACCAAAUUUAAAGUUCUUGGUGAUUUUACCCUAUCCUAUCUAUCUAACUUCCAGCAGGUUGGUUCUACUAUCUGCACCUGUUCAUCCAAGCUGCAUGCCUUUGCACUUGCUAUGCCUCAAGUUUGGAAACCCUUGCCUCUCACAGAUCUGUCAUCUACUUUAACCUCAAGACACAUAUUAAGAAAAUGGAUUCUUUUUUUUUUUUCUCCACUAAAAACAAAACAAACACAUUCAGGUGAAGUGGAGAAUACAUUUAUUAAAUCAUGUUACUUUAUAUAUUUUUAAAAAUUAUUUAUUUAUUUAUUUAUUUAUUUAUUUAUUUAUUUAUGAGAGAGAGAGAGAGAGAGAGAGAGAGAGAGAGAGACAGCAAGGGGAGGAGCAGAGGCAGAGGGACAAGCAGACUCCACACUGAGUACAGAGACCAACUUGGGGCUCAAUCUUAGGACCUUGAGAUCAUGACCUGAGCCAAAAUGAAGAGUUAGACACUUAACCAACUGAGCCACCUGGGCACCCCAAAUCAUGUUAAUAUUUAUUAAGCACUGGUUAGAUUGCCAAGAGGUCUUCUGGAACAACCAGGAUAAAUAAAUUCAUUCUUUACUGAGCCUGGAUCUCAGAACUUUCUGUCUUGGGGAAGCUUCUAUGGCCAUAGCCAAGCUGUUAUGUUUCCUCUCAAAGAAAUUAGUUCAUCCACUCCCACUGGCUGGAACAAGUAGUGGGAGCUCAGCCCUCCUCAGGCUUCUGCACAGACUUUGUUAUUUUGAGUAACAUGGUGGAAAGACUUGAUCUGGGAGUCUGAAACCUGGAUUCCAGUUCCAGCUUACCACCUACUUGUGACCUGUGUAGGCAAGUGUUCUCACCUUCUUGGCAUUUGUUUUCACCUGUAAGGUGAGAAGUUCAACUGGAUGAAUUUAAGGCUCCUUUUCUUUCAAGUUCAUCAUUCUAUGAUAAGAGUAAUUAAGGGCAGACCCGGUGGCGCAGCGGUUUAGCGCCGCCUGCAGCCCAGGGCAUGAUCCUGGAGUCCCGGGAUCGAGUCCCACAUCAGGCUCUCUGCAUGGAGCCUGCUUCUCCCUCUGCCUGUGUCUCUGCCUCUCUCUCUCUCUCUCUCUCUGCAUCUCUAUGAAUAA
rnacentral:lncRNA from 1 species